ensembl:piRNA 21ur-5162 ncRNA
UGGUGUAGAUUGCCUAGCUUG